rnacentral:rRNA from 1 species
AUUGAACGCUGGCGGCAUGCCUUACACAUGCAAGUCGAACGGCAGCAUGAUCUAGCUUGCUAGAUUGAUGGCGAGUGGCGAACGGGUGAGUAAUACAUCGGGACGUGCCCUGUAGUGGGGGAUAACUAGUCGAAAGAUUAGCUAAUACCGCAUACGACCUGAGGGUGAAAGUGGGGGACCGCAAGGCCUCAUGCUAUAGGAGCGGCCGAUGUCUGAUUAGCUAGUUGGUGAGGUAAAGGCUCACCAAGGCGACGAUCAGUAGCUGGUCUGAGAGGACGAUCAGCCACACUGGGACUGAGACACGGCCCAGACUCCUACGGGAGGCAGCAGUGGGGAAUUUUGGACAAUGGGCGAAAGCCUGAUCCAGCAAUGCCGCGUGUGAAGAAGGCCUUCGGGUUGUAAAGCACUUUUGUCCGGAAAGAAAUGGCUCUGGUUAAUACCUGGGGUCGAUGACGGUACCGGAAGAAUAAGGACCGGCUAACUACGUG